rnacentral:misc_RNA from 1 species
GAAAUGCGAUAAGUAAUGUGAAUUGCAGAAUUCAGUGAAUCAUCGAAUCUUUGAACGCACAUUGCGCCCCUUGGUAUUCCGAGGGGCAUGCCUGUUCGAGCGUCAUUAUAACCACUCAAGCCUCGGCUUGGUCUUGGGGUUCGCGGUUCCGCGGCCCUUAAAAUCAGUGGCGGUGCCGUCUGGCUCUAAGCGUAGUAAUUCUCUCGCUAUAGGGUCCCGGCGGCUACCUGUCAAAACCCCCCCCAUUUUUUAUGGUUGACCUCGGAUCAGGUAGGGAUACCCGCUGAACUUAA